AGAGUUUGAUCCUGGCUCAGAUUGAACGCUGGCGGCAGGCUUAACACAUGCAAGUCGAGCGGGGGAAGGUAGCUUGCUACUGGACCUAGCGGCGGACGGGUGAGUAAUGCUUAGGAAUCUGCCUAUUAGUGGGGGACAACAUCUUGAAAGGGAUGCUAAUACCGCAUACGUCCUACGGGAGAAAGCAGGGGAUCUUCGGACCUUGCGCUAAUAGAUGAGCCUAAGUCGGAUUAGCUAGUUGGUGGGGUAAAGGCCUACCAAGGCGACGAUCUGUAGCGGGUCUGAGAGGAUGAUCCGCCACACUGGGACUGGGACACGGCCCAGACUCCUACGGGAGGCAGCAGUGGGGAAUAUUGGACAAUGGGGGGAACCCUGAUCCAGCCAUGCCGCGUGUGUGAAGAAGGCCUUAUGGUUGUAAAGCACUUUAAGCGAGGAGGAGGCUACUUUAGUUAAUACCUAGAGAUAGUGGACGUUACUCGCAGAAUAAGCACCGGCUAACUCUGUGCCAGCAGCCGCGGUAAUACAGAGGGUGCGAGCGUUAAUCGGAUUUACUGGGCGUAAAGCGUGCGUAGGCGGCUUAUUAAGUCGGAUGUGAAAUCCCCGAGCUUAACUUGGGAAUUGCAUUCGAUACUGGUGAGCUAGAGUAUGGGAGAGGAUGGUAGAAUUCCAGGUGUAGCGGUGAAAUGCGUAGAGAUCUGGAGGAAUACCGAUGGCGAAGGCAGCCAUCUGGCCUAAUACUGACGCUGAGGUACGAAAGCAUGGGGAGCAAACAGGAUUAGAUACCCUGGUAGUCCAUGCCGUAAACGAUGUCUACUAGCCGUUGGGGCCUUUGAGGCUUUAGUGGCGCAGCUAACGCGAUAAGUAGACCGCCUGGGGAGUACGGUCGCAAGACUAAAACUCAAAUGAAUUGACGGGGGCCCGCACAAGCGGUGGAGCAUGUGGUUUAAUUCGAUGCAACGCGAAGAACCUUACCUGGCCUUGACAUACUAGAAACUUUCCAGAGAUGGAUUGGUGCCUUCGGGAAUCUAGAUACAGGUGCUGCAUGGCUGUCGUCAGCUCGUGUCGUGAGAUGUUGGGUUAAGUCCCGCAACGAGCGCAACCCUUUUCCUUACUUGCCAGCAUUUCGGAUGGGAACUUUAAGGAUACUGCCAGUGACAAACUGGAGGAAGGCGGGGACGACGUCAAGUCAUCAUGGCCCUUACGGCCAGGGCUACACACGUGCUACAAUGGUCGGUACAAAGGGUUGCUACACAGCGAUGUGAUGCUAAUCUCAAAAAGCCGAUCGUAGUCCGGAUUGGAGUCUGCAACUCGACUCCAUGAAGUCGGAAUCGCUAGUAAUCGCGGAUCAGAAUGCCGCGGUGAAUACGUUCCCGGGCCUUGUACACACCGCCCGUCACACCAUGGGAGUUUGUUGCACCAG
rnacentral:rRNA from 1 species